CGCGAGCUGGGGCGUGGGCGUUGGCGGCGUCUGCGGCGCCCGGGGCCUGAGGAGGCGUAGUCGCCUCAGGCUUCGCCAGGGGAGCGCCUCGGGGCCGGAUGCGACCUGCUCCUGCCUGGAAAAUCUCAAGCCCCCAGGUUUUCAGUGCGCGCCUGAGGUGGCAGUUUAUAUAAAGGAAGCACUGGGACCUGUGGCCACACCCUUCA
rnacentral:lncRNA from 1 species